UACGGGAGGUAGCAGUGGGGAAUAUUGCACAAUGGGCGCAAGCCUGAUGCAGCCAUGCCGCGUGUAUGAAGAAGGCCUUCGGGUUGUAAAGUACUUUCAGUCGUGAAGGAAGGUGUUAAGGUUAAUAACCUUAGCAAUUGACGUUAGCGACAGAAGAAGCACCGGCUAACUCCGUGCCAGCAGCCGCGGUAAUACGGAGGGUGCGAGCGUUAAUCGGAAUUACUGGGCGUAAAGGGCACGCAGGCGGUUAAUUAAGUUGGAUGUGAAAUCCCCGGGCUUAACCUGGGAAUGGCAUUCAAGACUGGUUAGCUAGAGUCUUGUAGAGGGGGUAGAAUUCCAUGUGUAGCGGUGAAAUGCGUAGAGAUGUGGAGGAAUACCGGUGGCGAAAGGCGGCCCCUGGGACAAAGGACUGACGCUCAUGUGCGAAAAGCGUGGGGAGCAAAACAGGGAUUAGAUACC
rnacentral:rRNA from 1 species